rnacentral:rRNA from 1 species
UACGUAUGGAGCAAGCGUUAUCCGGAUUUACUGGGUGUAAAAGGAGCGCAGGCGGUCUGGCAAGUCUGAUGUGAAAGGCCGGGGCUCAACUCCGGGACUGCAUUGGAAACUGUCAGACUGGAGUGUCGGAGAGGUAAGCGGAAUUCCUAGUGUAGCGGUGAAAUGCGUAGAUAUUAGGAGGAACACCAGUGGCGAAGGCGGCUUACUGGACGAUGACUGACGCUGAGGCUCGAAAGCGUGGGGAGCAAACAGG